rnacentral:lncRNA from 1 species
UCAGACCUGACCUGAUUAAAUCCAAUUCAAUCAAACAUGAUCCAGACUUUAAUGAUCAAUCAAAUUAAGCUAAUUAAUAAUUUAAUCACUAAUUAAUCCUUCAUUAAUGAUAGAGUUCAACUCUAGUGGGACUCUUCAGCAGAGUCCCCAUCCAGUGGGACUCUUCAGAUUAGCCAUAUGAUCGGAGAGAAACUUCUAAUGUGUGUGAUCCUAUAGGUUCAAACCUAAGUCGGUAGCACAAGAACUAAUUUUUAUACCAAUCAAAGUAAUCAUCUAGUAAUGGUACCCAAUAUCUGGAUAGGCCGAAUGUAUGCAAAGCAAUACUCAAAAACUUAUUUAGAUAUAGUUACCAUAUAAUUCAUCUCUUUGACCCUUGAUCCUAGGAUGACCCAAAGUUUAAACUGUCAACUCUUAACAAUGCAUCCAUUAUGUGUCUCAAUCUGAUAAAUUCUAUGACUCUUCACAAGGAUUGCCCUGACCA